GUUCCUGUCGAUUAGUGGUUAGAUCAUCACGUUGUGGCGGUCUCCUGAGAAGCAGAAACCGUGAAGACGGGGGCUCGACUCCCCCCAGGAACA